rnacentral:rRNA from 1 species
AUUGAACGCUGGCGGCAUGCCUUACACAUGCAAGUCGAACGGCAGCACGGGUGCUUGCCCCUGGUGGCGAGUGGCGAACGGGGGAGUAAUACAUGGGAACAUGUCCUGUAGUGGGGGGUAGCCCGGCGAAAGACGGAGUAAUACCGCAUACGAACUACGGAAGAAAGCGGGGGACCUUCGGGCCGCGGGCUAUAGGGUGGGCCGAUGCCGGAUUAGCUAGUUGGUGGGGUAAAGGCCUACCAAGGCGACGAUCAGUAGCUGGUCUGAGAGGAGGACCAGCCACACUGGGACUGAGACACGGCCCAGACUCCUACGCGAGGCAGCAGUGGGGAAUUUUCCACAAUGGGCGAAAGCCUGAUCCAGCAAUGCCGCGUGUGUGAAGAAGGCCUUCGGGUUGUAAAGCACUUUUGUCCGGAAAGAACUCCUUUGCCCUAAUCCGGUCGCGUCCUGACGGUACCUGAACAAUAAGCCCCGGCUAACUACGUG